rnacentral:snRNA from 1 species
AAAACAAAAUAACCGAAUAGAUA